rnacentral:rRNA from 1 species
AGAGUUUGAUCCUGGCUCAGGAUGAACGCUGGCGGCGUGCCUAACACAUGCAAGUCGAACGGACUUACAUUGAAGCCUAGCGAUAUGUAAGUUAGUGGCGGACGGGUGAGUAACGCGUGGGUAACCUGCCUUGUACUGGGGGACAACAGUUGGAAACGACUGCUAAUACCGCAUAAGCGCACAGCUUCGCAUGAAGCAGUGUGAAAAACUCCGGUGGUACAAGAUGGACCCGCGUCUGAUUAGCUGGUUGGUGAGGUAACGGCCCACCAAGGCGACGAUCAGUAGCCGGCCUGAGAGGGUGAACGGCCACAUUGGGACUGAGACACGGCCCAAACUCCUACGGGAGGCAGCAGUGGGGAAUAUUGCACAAUGGGGGAAACCCUGAUGCAGCAACGCCGCGUGAGUGAAGAAGUAUUUCGGUAUGUAAAGCUCUAUCAGCAGGAAAGAAAAUGACGGUACCUGACUAAGAAGCCCCGGCUAACUACGUGCCAGCAGCCGCGGUAAUACGUAGGGGGCAAGCGUUAUCCGGAUUUACUGGGUGUAAAGGGAGCGUAGACGGUUUUGCAAGUCUGAAGUGAAAGCCCGGGGCUUAACCCCGGGACUGCUUUGGAAACUGUAGGACUAGAGUGCAGGAGAGGUAAGUGGAAUUCCUAGUGUAGCGGUGAAAUGCGUAGAUAUUAGGAGGAACACCAGUGGCGAAGGCGGCUUACUGGACGGUAACUGACGUUGAGGCUCGAAAGCGUGGGGAGCAAACAGGAUUAGAUACCCUGGUAGUCCACGCCGUAAACG